GUCCGUGUAGCCUAAUGACUAAGGCGUCGGUCUCCUAAACAGGAGACUGUGGGAACACGUCCUGCCGUGGGUA
rnacentral:tRNA from 1 species